GCCGUAGCACUGCAGCCCGUGAGCUGAGCCGCGGACAGGGAGAGCGGAAAGGAGCGUUAGCCGCGGACGUCGCACGCGUCGUCCGUUCAAACGUCAGAGAGUCAGGCUGGUUGAGAGACGUUGGGCCUCAUUCACGAAACGAAAAACCGGGCUGUGGACCAGGAAAACCGGGCCUUGGGCUUGGAAAACUGGGCCAUGGACCAGGAAAAACGGGCAAUGGACCAGGAAAACCGGGCUGUGGACCAGGAAAACCUGGCCAUGGACCAGGAAAACCGGGCUGUCCAAGAUCUCUCCGGCCCGAGGCUUGUUCUCUCUGUGCCGCGCUGGCGGAAGUGAACGGUUGAGGGGGCGUUCCGUUUCUGAGCGAGGUUUUUGCGCUUCACACACGCGCUCUCCGUAGCGCGCUCUGUAGAUAACAACAAGCGCCGUCGAACUGUGCGAUUGCCCAUCAGCCCUUGCGGUGUUUGUCUGUUGGAAGUUCCAGGAACUGCAGCAGCUCUUGACUGGCCUGACUGGUUACUGUAAGAAACAGGACUUUUUUAUUUGAAUUCACAUUCAUUUUACUUUGAGUCUAAGCAGGUCCUGACAGUCUGCUGUUCAAACCGUCAGUUAUGUCCUUCCUGUUGUACAUGCUCUGUUUUAUGUUCAGUUAUAGCAUGAUCCCAUAUUGGUUCAACAGGGCAGAGGGCAAAAAAAGACAUUUUAUCACAAUGUCCCACUGUUGUAAAAAAAAAAAAACUGUUUAAAGUCAUAGAAA